rnacentral:lncRNA from 13 species
CUGUGAAUUGCAUAUGUACACACAGUAGAGACACUCAAAAUGCACACUGAUUUCAAGUUGGUAACCCCAGGAUGCCAGUCUCUUUAACGUAUAAUUAAAGAGGUUGAUGGUGUCAAGGUUUUAAUUAAGCAGUCUUGAUUUUUUAUUUUGAUGCAAAUUAGUAAGCUCUGUGUUUUGAAAGAAAUUGCAUGCUGUAGUUGCUCCAUUGUAAUUUUUUUAAUUUUAAAUAUGUAGGUGAUUUCAGAGGUCUACAAAGAAGAUACGAAAAAUGAAAGUACAUGUCUCAUUUAAAAGUUUAUGCUUUAAGCAUACAUUUCAUACACCAUAAGGCAAUUUGUAUUAGUUCAUGGAAAACUGUGUCUGAAAGCUCUCAAAUACUACUAGAAGACUGGAGACAGAAAAAAAAUAACAGGCUAUAAUCAGUAAAUAAAUUGCUAACUUAAAAAAAAAUCUAUGCUGCUGGAGAAAUGCCUGGGCAAGGGGCAGAGCAACCACUGCUGCACAAGGUCUCAGGCACAGGAACAGAGAGUGACCUGCCACCAAGGAGAAAAAGAAAGGAGGAAGGAGAGUGACUUGCCACUCCACCCUGCUUCUCUCUGGACCUGGGAACUCAUCCUCACUGCUUCUGAUACUGAGAAUGGAAAUCCAGGGGCUUCAAUCCAACAUUUCUCUUAAGUUACUCAUUCACAAAGUGUAUUAUCCUAUUUUAUUUAUUUAUUUAUUUUCAAGAUGGGGUCUUGCUCUUUCGCCAGGAUGGAGUAGAGUGGCACCAUCUCAGCUCACUGCAACCUCCACAUCCUGGGCUCAAGUGAUUCUUCUGCCUCAGCCUCCCAAGUAGCUGGGAUUACAGGUGAGCACCACCAUGUCCAGAUAAUUUUGGAAUUUUUAGUAGAGACGGGGUUUCAGCAUGUUGGCCAGGAUGGUCUCAAUCUCUUGACCUCAUGAUCUGCCAGUCUCAGCCUCCCAAAGCGCUGGAAUUACAGGCGUGAGCCACCAUACCCAGCCUAUUUAUUUUAUUUUAUUCUUUGCUCCCUUGUUUGAACAUGGGAUCUGUGAGUGAUUCAAAGUGUAAACUUUGAAUGCCAUUUUGACAGGAAGUCUACAUUAUUUUAUUACCUAUUUUUAAACAAACUAAACAUUGCAUCCUAAUCCCACUCCUCUUAAUGGCAUUAAGAGGUUAAUGCUGAACUGAAGCUGUAACAUGGGGAGAAAGCACACACUCACACCAUACACUACUUAAUCAGCACGCCUCAUCCUCACUCAAAUAAGAGGGAGCUACAAUGGCUUUAAACUUCUCCCUCUUAUACAAAAAUAAAAAGAUAAAUUACAUGAGACA